CGAGCCGGCCGGGCGGUCGCGUCGGGGUCUUACCAGAUCCCGCCGAGGAACGUCCGGGCUCCACAGGGCAGGGUGGUGGGUAACGCCCACCCGGGGUGACCCGCGGGACAGUGCCACAGAAAACAGACCGCCGGGGCCUCACAGGCGCCCGGUAAGGGUGAAACGGUGGUGUAAGAGACCACCAGCGUCCGGGGUGACCCGGACGGCUCGGUAAACCCCACCUGGAGCAAGGUCAAGAGGAGCCGCACAGGAAUAGCGUGCGGCUCUGCGCGGACGUUCGAGGGCUGCCCGCCCGAGUCCGCGGGUAGACCGCACGAGGCCGGCGGCAACGCCGGUCCUAGAUGGAUGGCCGCCUCCCCGGGGACCGCGAGGACCCUGGGAGACAGAACCCGGCGUACAGGCCGACUCGUCCG
rnacentral:RNase_P_RNA from 1 species